GGUUAUGUAACGCAAUGAUAACGCGCUUGUUUUUGUAACGGGAGAACCUGGGUUCGAUUCCCGGUGCAACUU